GAUGAACGCUGGCGGCGUGCCUAAUACAUGCAAGUAGAACGCUGAAGGCGGAGCUUGCUCUUCUGGAUGAGUUGCGAACGGGUGAGUAACGCGUAGGUAACCUGCCUGGUAGCGGGGGAUAACUAUUGGAAACGAUAGCUAAUACCGCAUGACAACAGUUAUUGCAUGAUAACUGUUUAAAAGGGGCAACUGCUCCACUACCAGAUGGACCUGCGUUGUAUUAGCUAGUUGGUGAGGUAACGGCUCACCAAGGCGACGAUACAUAGCCGACCUGAGAGGGUGAUCGGCCACACUGGGACUGAGACACGGCCCAGACUCCUACGGGAGGCAGCAGUAGGGAAUCUUCGGCAAUGGACGGAAGUCUGACCGAGCAACGCCGCGUGAGUGAAGAAGGUUUUCGGAUCGUAAAGCUCUGUUGUAAGAGAAGAACGAGUGUGAGAGUGGAAAGUUCACACUGUGACGGUAUCUUACCAGAAAGGGACGGCUAACUACGUG
rnacentral:rRNA from 1 species